GUCGUGUAGAAAGGUCCCGAGAGACUUCUGUUUGCUUUACAUCAGUAAGGAGAGGGGAGAGAGAACGCGGAGUUUCUUUCCGUCUAUCUGAGACUUAGCAUAAGUGAUCAGCAAAGUGACGAUGGAGGCCAACCUGUGCUGGCUGCUGGCAACCUGGCUCCCCCCGUGGUCCCUGUGAACGUUCUGGAAAUGCAAGACCAGAAGUCAUUCAAGAAACUGUGAUAAAGACUUCAAGCCAAUGUCCACGCAAACUCCCACCAAAGCUGCUCAUGAAAGACAAAUCAUUGAAAAGUGGAGUAUUCAGCCAGCUGGGCUAUCUGACCUCACACAGACUAGAAGGAAUAGAAUGUUUCCUAAACUAACAACUGGCUUGUGGGAGGAAGCAAACAUUGUCAGGAUAAAGAUGAUGAACCAGACAGGUCGAAUCCCAUUCAUUAGCUCUGCAACCACAGGCUGAAGACCCCCUUGGAUGUCAUGAACACUGGCCCCACAGACUGCUGUGACUGCAAUAAGCUGAGGGGCGUGGAGUGGCGAUGGACUCUCUGAUCCGGACUCUAGGACUGUCACCUCGCUGGGGCUUCCAGCCCCCUUACCCUGCAGGAUCCUCCUCCAGUGACCUACCCGUGAAUCUGACCUCACUGCCCAUCACUCUCCCUUCCCCACCAUGCUCCCCACUGGCCUCCUUUCCACCUCUGCACAAGCCACGCCCCUCCCAGUUAGGCCCUCCAGCCAGGAGCCCCUUCUCCUUGCUCCUGUUCUCUGCUGGUACCCACCCUUCCCACCUUCUGAUUCCUGAAGGCUGCGUCCUCUUCUCAUCCAGCUGCUCUUGAGAGGGGCCUUCUUCAUCCAUCCCAGCAAAAGACCCGCCGUUCUGCCACACACCCUGCAGUUUGCCCCCGUUUUAUUUUUUCCAUGGGAUCCUAGUAAUUUAUCUGUUUAUCUUAUUACUACCUGCCACCCGCCCCCGCCCCCCGCCCCAACUCUGAUGUGAGCUCCAUGUGUGCACAACUCACUCAAUUUCUAGAGCCUAGACAGUUCCUGGCACAUGUUAAGGGGUUCAAUUAAUCUUUUUUGAAUAAAUGAAAAGAUUUAAAACUUC